rnacentral:rRNA from 1 species
AUGCUGCCAGCAUCAGCGAUCAGCUUUCCUGUGCUCACCAAGACGAAGAAGGUUUUGAAGACAUCACCUGCUGAGAUCUCCCCGGACUGUGCCAAUUUCCCACCAUACCAGAAGUCCAAUGCCCAUGAUAAGAAUGUGAGGCACGGCGACAGCCCUGUGGUUAUCCCUGCUACCCAUGACUUCUUCCUUGCUUUCCUCAAUGGUUCCUCUUGUGUAUGCUCGAAGAGCUGA